rnacentral:rRNA from 1 species
GCUUGUCUCAAAGAUUAAGCCAUGCAUGUCUAAGUAUAACUCUUUUACUUUGAAAACUGCGAACGGCUCAUUAUAUCAGUUAUAGUUUCUUUGAUAGUCCCUUACUACUUGGAUACCCGUAGUAAUUCUAGAGCUAAUACAUGCAUCAAUACCCAACUGUUCGCGGAAGGGUAGUAUUUAUUAGAUACAAAACCAAUGCAGGGCAACCUGGUUUUUUGGUGAUUCAUAAUAACUUCUCGGAUCGCAUAGCUUCGGCUGGCGACGUUUCAUUCAAAUUUCUGCCCUAUCAACUUUCGAUGGUAAGGUAUUGGCUUACCAUGGUUACAACGGGUAACGGAGAAUUAGGGUUCGAUUCCGGAGAGGGAGCCUGAGAAACGGCUACCACUUCCAAGGAAGGCAGCAGG